CUCCUUCCGGCCCACUUCUGGGCAUUUCUCUCCAGCUGCUGCUUCCUCUCAGUCCCAGCAGAGAGGGAACUAACAAGCUUAUUCCAUCUGUAAACUGUCUCCUGAGCCCUGUGUCCCCUCCUGGUGCCAAGAAACCUCCUUCCCUAAUGCUCUGAGUCAGAGCCCAGUCGCCUUAGAAUAGCAGAAGUAGUGAGUCAGGGAGAGAUGAGGGCCCCCGGUAGGGUGGAAAGUGGGGGUCCAAACUAGCCUGGGGAAGUUGAAAGCAAAACUAGAGAGACAUAGGUAAACUUUGCUUUGUGACAUGGCCCAGGUCACUUAACGCAUCUGAACCUCAAUUUCUUCAUAUACAAAGUUGAGCUGGGACGUCAGUGCUAUUUUAUGUGUGGGUUAGUGAAAGUCCUGGAUGGAAAGCACCUCACACAAUGUCCAGCACGCAGGAGGCUUCGGAGAAGGAAGAAGACCGUCAUCCUAAUCAUGUCUUCUUUCAGGUCCAGUGACCUGCUGACCUUUGGCCCCAUGUCCAUGAUACUGGUGUUAAGCAUAACACUGAGGACAAGUAGAAGUAGGGAGUCCUGGUGACUUCUCCAAAGAUGUCACCUCCUCCUAUCUAUUCCCUCUCAGCACUUAUGAGAACAUGACGCUGGAAAUGAAGCUCAGUGUUGUGAAAUUCUGGGUUCUCUUUUUGUCCUAAAUACUUCCGAGUAAAGCCAACCACAGAAGCCGCUCCACAGAGGUAGGAUUUGAAAACCACCAGCUGGUGAAGGGGAAAGAAGUAGCAGUGUGCCAGGCUGAGGAAGCAGGAAGUACUCACAGCCAUUGUGUCCCCUCCUAGCUGCCUGCAGGGCUCUCCCAGGGACUGGUUGGACCCUUUCGGUUUGUCCAACAGGAGUAUGGCCGCCUUUCAGAAAAGCUAGUAUAAGAAAUCCAAACUUUGGAAACCAAAAUGGGGACAAAGGGAUCCCCAUUACACACAAAUGGAUUCUCUGCAAAAGGCUUUCGAUGACGCCCUUCUGCUGUGUAAAAAGAGGCACCCUUGGGUGUAGGCAUGUAAGUAGGCACAGCAAAUCUCCAUACUGGCGUCCUGCGCUUCACAAGGCUGGAUGGCAAAUGUAUGUCUUGGCUCUUAUUUCUCUGUGGGAAAAGUGGAUGCAGACAAUUCCAUCUGCCUCAUGUUCCCAAUCUCGUUGCCUGCUGGCUCUACUCAAAAAUAGUCAAAAGACAGUACUCAGGGGGAGAUUUAAUAAGAUAAUAAUCCUUGCUGCUUCAUCAAGGACGUCCUUCAGUGAAACUGGAAUCUGCAAAUGUGUGGUGGUGAAGAAAACAACGACCAUUAGUAUAGUUUGGUGCCACUGCCUUGGUUCAUGCUACCACAUCAGCAUCUUGGCCCACCAUUGCUUUUGUACCAUUGGUGCAAAUGUCAACAUAGCGAAGAAGGUAAAUAACAUCUUAGUAUUAUUAUGAAAAUAGUUCUAACCUUGAGGGGUCUGCUGCAAGAGACUUGGGGGUCCCCAGGGGCCAGCAAACUCACUUCAAGAACCACUCAACAGGGCUGUUGUAAGGAUCAGACAAAAUAAUGUACAUAAAGCAGUUGGCAUGGUACCUGACACAAUCUAAGUGCUAAAUAAA